rnacentral:rRNA from 1 species
AACGAACGCUGGCGGCAUGCCUAACACAUGCAAGUCGAACGAGACCUUCGGGUCUAGUGGCGCACGGGUGCGUAACGCGUGGGAAUCUGCCCUUGGGUUCGGAAUAACAGUUAGAAAUGACUGCUAAUACCGGAUGAUGACUUCGGUCCAAAGAUUUAUCGCCCAAGGAUGAGCCCGCGUCGGAUUAGCUUGUUGGUGAGGUAAAAGCUCACCAAGGCGACGAUCCGUAGCUGGUCUGAGAGGAUGAUCAGCCACACUGGGACUGAGACACGGCCCAGACUCCUACGGGAGGCAGCAGUGGGGAAUAUUGGACAAUGGGCGAAAGCCUGAUCCAGCAAUGCCGCGUGAGUGAUGAAGGCCUUAGGGUUGUAAAGCUCUUUUACCCGGGAUGAUAAUGACAGUACCGGGAGAAUAAGCCCCGGCUAACUCCGUGCCAGCCGCCGCCGUAACAC